rnacentral:rRNA from 1 species
AUACGGAGGAUCCGAGUGUUAUCCGGAUUUAUUGGGUUUAAAGGGUGCGUAGGCGGGCCCUUAAGUCAGUGGUGAAAGUUUGCAGCUUAACUGUAAAAUUGCCAUUGAAACUGAGGGUCUUGAGUGUAAAUAAGGUAGGCGGAAUGUGUUGUGUAGCGGUGAAAUGCUUAGAUAUCACGAGGAACUCCGAUUGCGCAGGCAGCUUACUAAACCACUACUGACGCUCAUGCACGAAGGCGUGGGGAUC